CGGUAAAAUUUUUAAGCAAACUUCUAUUUUGCAAAAGGCAAAUUACUUUUUACUUGUUACUUUUGAAUGCAGAAUGCACUCUAAAUCAGGAAAGAGCCAUAAUACAUGUGACUUUAGACUGAGUGCAUUAAUAAGGUAUGUAUCAGAACUAUGGAUUUUUCCCUGCUGAUCUUGCUGUUGCAGUGGCUGAUGAUGCAGCUGGUAAAGAGUGCUUUUCCUUCUCUUAUGAAGGAGACACAAUCUAAAGUGAAAAGAGGACUGGUAGAAAAUAGAUAUAUACUAUAUUACACUGACAUCAGAGCAAAAAACUCACUGGGUAAGUGUGAUUACUUUAGACUAUCAGCCUAUGUAUAAGGCCAGCUUACUUUCUGAUAAUGCUGUAGGCAAGAUUGCUGUCCCACAAUUUCUUACACGUAAGUAAUAUUGAAGACUCUUAGACUUCUGUUGCUUGACUUAAAUUAUGUCCUCAGGGUCACCUGAGUCACCACCUUGGCUUAUACUACAGUACAACAUGUAAAAUAUGUGCAGAGAAGUGGUUUAGAUUUUAGCUGUUUGAAAAUGCAUUGUGUUUGAUGAAACCAGGUUUUCCUCAGCACUUAAUCAAAGUAGUUUUCACUGUAUUGUUUCAUAAACAAAACCCCCCAUCACUGAGUGUGAAUAUUUGAAAAACAUACUUUGUUUUCAAAUUUGAUUCAGGCCAAUGGUGCACGUACAGCUUCUCUCUGGUGGUAUGUAGGUUAAACUGAAAUAUUUCCUUCCAGCAGGAAUUUAUCAUCCAGAGACAGUGAAAUUGGAACACGUUCACUGCUGUGGCUGCUUUGUUGCAGUCAGCCUAGAGUAUGGAUGGGAAACAGACGCAGCAAGAACAAGGUCACCGAGCAGUGAUGUUUGACACGUGUUAAAUUAGUCCAAAACUUCCUUAUUUUAAAGAGGUAAGAAGUUCUCGGUUGGAGCGCUGUAUGAACACAUGAGCUGAUUAAGAGAUGGCUUAGGUAUCUUUAGUUCAGUGAAGGAGCCGUGAAGUUGGAAUGGGCCAAAAAGAACCAGGUAAGCCUUCAGUGCUGCUCCCAUGCUUGCCGGCACAGGCAGGACCUGUGCAGGAGUGCCUGCAGACUGCACCCAAGAGUACCAGCAGUUCAGUCAGCACUGCCUGACGGUUACCCCAUGAUUAGAAGCUCUUCCAGCAGGAGACUAAAGAUGUGCAGCCAAGGCAGCUACCAGCCACCUCACUAGGGAAGGAGGCUCUGAAGGAAAUACAGGAGCUUUAGGAGCUUGGAACUGUGUGUUAUCUGGAAAUGUCUCUUAGCCCAUUUAUCUACCCUGAAUUGUUUUAAGCCAAUGAAUGUAUGCUUAUUGGGAGAGGAAAAUCAGCUUAUUCAUCACCAGUAAUUUUAGAUCACUUUUUCCAUGAUUUUGAACAAUAGUGUAAGCAAAAUUCAAAUAUAAAUUUCUUUAAAUAUAAGUGCCAUUGUCUUUGCCUCUAAAAGUUCUAGCAUAAGUUCAGCUUCUCCCUUUCUUGUGAUCUUUUCUCGAAUAUGAUUUUUAAAUAAUGAAGCACUAUUGACCUCAGUAUAGAAAUAAAUCAGAAAACUGGUAACCAAAACCAUUUCUAGUCUUGUGUGCUCUGUGAAACAGUUCACUGCCUAUGGCACAGUUUCAUACACAGACUUGAAGUACAAGAGAUGAUGCUGAAGCUGGUUUACAUUACCACAGUACUGCCAAAAGCUUUGAGGUGGAAAGCAGUUGAAUGAAUUUUUCUUGCGGAUUGUUUGGUAGUCUGUAUCAGUCUGAUAGGAAGUGAAUGUUACAAAAAUCAGUCUUCCUUCUCUAGGUACUUUUUGGGUAGUGGAUAUGUUGAAAUAUAGAGAAAGUAUACAUAUAAUUAUACGUUUCAAAUGUUUCUUGAUAGACAGUAUAAAAAAAGCUAAAACAACACGGUAUAUAUAGAAACAGGAAAUUUUAAAUACAAAUUAAGUCUUAGCAGUAGUUGGGGCUUCCCACAAUUUUCUUUUCUUUUGUUUGCCUGUGUAGCUCCAAUUUCAUUCUUUUAACGUUUCUAAUCUACUGGGGACGCUUAUAUUGCUGGCUGAAUUUCCUGAAUUUUCAUCCAGCUGAGAAAUGUGGUGCACAAUGUCAGCACAAUACAUAAGUUACAUUCAAAAUCUUGUUAUUGGGCAAAGAAGAAACAAGAUUUUACAUAUAAAUCCAAUAAUUUACUGUUAGUAUCACCAAAAUCUGGACAAUGUAAUUUAAAAAUCAGUAUUAGUUUAGAUCUAAUCAUUGCAGAAUAAUAAUAAUAAUUAGAACACGGGGAAAAAAGGCUUAGUAGAAGUAGCAAUAGAAUUUACAUCAUAAUACACAGACUUAGUUUCUGGGGCUUUUACUGGUGCUAUCUUACCCUUUUUCUGCUCCUUUCAAUCCUAGCGUCAAUGUGGUCAUUCUCAUGGCUUGUGGUGGGUUAUGGCGAGUUAUCAACAUCCAGUGUCCUUUGCCAGGAGAAAAGUGAUGUUUAUGUUGGUCAUUUCUUUCUCACUCUAGGAUCCUCUUGGGUUCAUUUUUAUGUUUGCUAACACAUCUUUACUUCUUGCUUUUUCUUCAUUAGUCUGCAGCACCAUGUUACACCCAGAUUUACCAUAUACGUACUUCAGAUGCUUUUGUGUAUGUUGCGCACCACUUCUUUGUUACCUAAAAUCAGAUUUUAUUUCCAGUAACAAGUCUGCAAUUUCUAACAGGCUACUGGAGGGUUAUUUAUUGCUGUGGGGUUUCCAGGGCCAAGCCUGUGCCUCAUGUCUCAUCCUACUCUCCUAUAACCACAUCCUGUGCCUCCACUUUGCAAAGCUUCUGCUGUUGUACCAGACCUGUGCUUCUCUACACGACAUGUCAAAAUAGUAGCAUGCUACAAAGGAUGACUGCUUGCUACUAUCAAUAUGAAAAAUGUUGCAAUUCCAUACAAAGAAAUGUAAUAAAUUAGCCAUAGACAGUUUGUCAGUUAGAGGAAUUGCUGCCAUGGCUAAACCAGGAAAAACAAAGCUUCAGGCAAGUCAAGAAAAUUCAGACACAGACCAACCUGUGACAAGCCUCAGUCCUGUGGCCUUGCAGACCCAGUAUGAAAUGUAUGGCCUGUUACUAGCAGUGGCAAUAGGGUUUUACAGAGCUACAUGGUUACACACAUGACUGGGAGCCAGCACAGCCAUGAGCUUAACGGCAGUCUGUGGUAUCCCACCUCUAAAGUACCACUGACCUAACAUUUGUGAAGUGGUUUCUCUUCCUCCUUUUUUUUUUCCCAGAAAUUUCAUCUUAGAAUUGCAAAAAAUAAGUCAUCUGAAUGCCUUUCAAAACUGUACUUGUUGAAAUCAACAUGGGGUGAGUAAGGGAAGGAAGUAUAGCAUUUUAAUUUCGUGGCAAAUUUCCAAUAAAUCUGUAUCAGGAAAAGUUUUUGACCAAAGGUGUUAGGAUGUUGAUUUUUUACAUUUCUCUUGUUGUAUUAAUCAUUGGUUAAGAAAGCAUAGAAUAAAUUCUCUUGACUUUGUAAAACACUUGUAACCAUGAAAUAUGCCAUUUUUGAUUGAACAACCAAUUUAAAAUGACUAUUGAAGAUAAAAGGCAGGCUGAAGAUAAAGGGGUAAAAGAAAGAAAAUGGAGCCACAAAUGAACAAAUGUAACAUUUCUUAAUUAGGGAUACCACAACUACUAGGACCACUGACUAGUUUUUGAAGCUGUUUGCACAAACAAGGCUUGAGCAUCAUUGUAGAGUGCUCGGGAAGCAUACUUACUCAAUUUGCCCUUACUUUGCACAGUAUAUAUGAGAGUGCAAAGUGGUUUUGUUAGUGAUGCUUUUUUUCCAACCGUGUCUGACAUAUAAAGAAGAAAUGGGUGGUAAUUCUGUUAUUUUUCUGUGGCCAAGUUCAUGCCCUUUCUUUUAAAGCAAUUACUCAAAGUCCUCAAGCAAUGGUCUGUCCUCAGGAGCUUACCUGGAUUUAAGCUAGAUUUACUAAAGAAUAUGGGAUAUUACUUGAACGUUAUUAUUGUGAAGAAGUUACUGGAAGUUAGGGACUAAUGUUUUAAAGCAUCUGGUUACUGCUUUGGAGCUUUGGAGUAACUUGCAUUGCCUAACAGGACACUGCUUGGAUGGCUGUCUGACCUGGUCCGUGAUGCAGUUCCAGAUGUACAUACCCAAUAAUGAUUCAGACAGAGAGGUAAAUCAGAGAAGGUGUAUGUGACUGUAUCCCUUAAAGAAGAGCCCUGGCUUCUGGGACAGCAGAAGCUCCACAAGUUGUCCCAGCUAUUAGCUCUAGCUAACAAAGUAUCACUGUGUAAUUUAUAAUGUUGCCUGAGAAAUGACAGAACAUCUUUUCAAAGGUAAUAUUUAAUGCUCAAAAGUCAAUAAAAUCUUCAUCAAUCCUGCUGACUUUCCCAGAUAGUAGGCACGGAUUAGCUGGUCAAUGAUUUUAAAUUUUCAGGCUCCUUAUAGUCAAAGUAAUGUAAGCCUACACAAAUAUUUGUUCAGUGAAAGAGCAAUAUAUUAAGCAAUCCAUUAAGUUGACAAAUAUAUGUGAAAUAAGAAAUUAUGGCAGGCUAAUCUCUCUCUUCUUUGUAUGAAGUAAGAAAUGAGUGUAACCUUUUUGACAUUGUCCAAAUGUGUGGUUCAGUCGCCUUUUUUGGGUACCUCAUGCUUUUAAAAUUAAUUCUGUCUAGUAGCUAUCACAGUUAAACAGCAGAGAAAGACAGCAAAAUUGUUAAUCACUUGCUGAAAAUGAGAUAAGUCUUCAUUCAGGUGUAAAGUUGCAGUCACUUUUACAUGAAUCCCUAGGGUUCUAUAUUUUCUUUUCUUUCUUCUUUUCUUUCAAGUGUUAUUGCUUCACAUGUGUAGUUGCCUAAGAACAGUGAAUGGUCAUAUUUCAUUUACCCAGGAAAAAUCUGUCAAUCAUAGCAAGACUUCCAUGAGGUUUAGAAGAAUCCCAUAGGCCCUAGCAAAGCCUAUUCCACUUCACGCUUAGUAUAAACUGCUAGGCCAAUAUUAAAACUUUUGAUGUUCAGGCAGACACGUGGAAGUUGCAUACCCCAGAUGUUCAAAGUAAAAUGUUCACAAACUGACCAGUCAUAGAAGUUUCAUGUUCAAGAUGAAACCGUUUCAAAGGCUGUGCUUUUCAGAAUUUGGUAGGUGAGGCAUUUCUGGAUGAAAAAUCCUGAUUUUUCAAAAUCCCUCAUGCUGAACAUCCUAGAAUAGAGGCAACCAUAAUCUUUAGUUGUUUAGAAAGAUAUCACUGUUAUCCAUGUUUUUAAAAAUGAGAAUGAAUAAAGAUAGUUAAUAUUUUUUUUCAAAUAGCUUUGCUGAAUUACUGCAUCUUGAGAGCUUUCUGAAAUACACAGGGUGUCGUGGUCUCACUCCUGUGAUGUGCUGAGCAUUGACAUCUUAAAACAUCUUCUGCAGCAGGUAAAAUCUUUCAGCACCAAGAGAAAUUUGUAAGGUGGAAAAGCUUCACAAAGAGAGUGAACUGCAGUAAUAUACAAAUAGCAAAUAUGAGAGAGAGUAAAGGAAUGACUUCGUUGGAGAUUGCAACCAUCUGAGCACACUGAAUCAGGAGGCCCUGACUUUGACGGCAACAGGAUAGGAGUAUUUGACCUUGAUGAUAGAGCCCUGUGCCUCUGAAGAGAAAAGAAAAACAACUUUGAGAAAGUUAUCUGAGUGAAGAGACAUAGUCAGUAGAAAAGCAGGGACUUGGCUAACAGAGACUGCACGCAUGAAGUUGCAUAAGGAAGAGGAAGUUAAAGCAAUGGUGAGCUGAUAAGCUACAGCAAGCAAACUGAGCUUUACUGCCUGAGCACCAUGUGUCUCUUGCAUCCUGGCCACUUCAGAGGCUAUUGUGAUGGAUUGACAUGGAGAGCAAUAGCACAGUUGUAUUUGGGAAGACUUCUUCACAGAAUGUCCUGUGCACCAGCUUACAAAGAUGAGGAAAGGUCAUCAUGAAUAUUGGAAGAGGAAUUGUCCCAUUUUCAUUCUUUACUAACCAUAUUCUGACAUGGGAAUGGAUCAAAGCAGAAUAUGAUACCUUCAUCAUUUUCAGGGUGUUUUGCAUGUCUUUUUUGCUUGCAGCUUAGUAAAUAUUGUAAGAUGAGAUCGUAGAUGUCCUUUAGAAAAGAGUAUACAAAUCACAUAAAUUAAAAUUAUUGAAUGAGCAUUUAAUUUAGGAUCACUUGCUUAGAUCUGGUGACAGCUCACCAGGAAAUUUUUGUUCAGUAACCCUUCACAUCUUUGUUGCUCACCUGCAGGUUGUCCAGUUGUUCCGGCAGUGGAUUUUAAUUCCGUGUUGAUCACAAUCUUCAGGCCUCCAUUCAUAUUAUUCCACAUUGUAUGCUGCAAGGCACCAUCAGGAAUGAAUUUGUUGUGUUUAGAGUCUGCAGUUAGCAUCCCAGAAAAGCGGCUAUGAUUAGCCAAAUAAAAGUCUUUCAAAGACAGCCACCAUAACCCAGCUGAAGUGCUGCAGCUGAUGUCACCCUAUUAAAAGUCUGUCUUCUUUUUAAUCAGUGGAUAGAAGAGAUCAUUUUAUUUAAUUCACAAAGUACAUAUAAUGAACUGCCUCUUGCAUAUUGAAACUUUGGGAGGUGACAAAUGGGGAAUGGGCUAGGAGUUUGUCGCUGGGGAUUUUUUUUUUUUGGUUUUGCUUGCUUGCUUGCUCCUUGCUUCUGUACUCCAGUUCAAAUUAUAAUAAACCCACUGAUUCUUCUCAUCCCAGCUUAAUACUGAAUGGCCCGCAGAUAUAUUUGUUGUACAGAAAUACUGCUUUUGUGCUCUGUAGGUCACAGCACCUGAAGGAGCAGAACCUAAAGAGUUACUCACCAUUUCACAGAAAAGUGUGUAGCAGCUCCAUGUGUGUUGCACUUGGUCGCUGACCUGCUUACUGAUAGAAAUGCAGUUUUGGAAGUAAUCUGAUAUCACAGUUUUGCAGUACUCUAGUCCAAAUCUACCAGCCUCCAACAGGGCAGACCUGUUCCCUUGACAUGACCUUGGAGUUGGUAUAAAGGGCAAAAAGGAGAAACAUUCUGAUUCUGAGAGAGCUUUUAAAAAUUAAGGUUAAAUAAAAAUUAUCAAAAUAGGAAAAGCUGUGGAAGGAAAAAAGGGUUUAUUUGUCUUCAGAAUUUAUGUUUACUUUUCAUUAGUCAGAAAUAACAUAUACUCUUGGUCAUAGCAAGCUAAAGCAAAAAUGAGUUGUCUCUUGUCCUUUUGUCUUCCACACACACACACUUGCUCUCUACCCAUCCUCGUUCUCCCUUUUCUCUCUCCUUCUCUCCUUUCUUCUUUACCCUUUGCUCUCUUUCAUGCUGCCUUUCUAUGCCUCUUUCACACACCCUCUGUCUCUGACCCUGCCUCCCUCAUGCUCUGCCUCUCUUCCUAACCCUGGCUCCCACUUCCUGCUCUCUCAUCCUCUCUGCCUUGGAAACAGAUUUUCUCGGGAUGCGUUUCUCCUCCUAGUUCAAAAUUCUUGAUCAUAGGGAUUAAUAUUGCUCCCUUCCCUGCACCCCCCCAAACUUAUAAGAAGAAAGCUUAUUUUUUUAAAAUCUUUCCUGUCUUCCAGCCCCUUAGAAACUUGAUGUCUAUAUUUUCUUAGGGAAAUCAUGAGCAUUAGUAAACAUAUAGAUUUAGCCAUGGUAAGCAAAACAAAUGAAGCAAAACAAAUAUCCUAGGAUAUUGGGAAGAAAUGCAUUGCAAUUUUUAAAAGUAUGACACUCUGGUCUCUGAUUUUCUGCUCAACUAUUCAUU